AUUGGACGCUGGCGGCAUGCCUUACACAUGCAAGUCGAACGGCAGCACGGGUGCUUGCACCUGGUGGCGAGUGGCGAACGGGUGAGUAAUACAUCGGAACAUGUCCUGUAGUGGGGGAUAGCCCGGCGAAAGCCGGAUUAAUACCGCAUACGAUCCACGGAUGAAAGCGGGGGACCUUCGGGCCUCGCGCUAUAGGGUUGGCCGAUGGCUGAUUAGCUAGUUGGUGGGGUAAAGGCCUACCAAGGCGACGAUCAGUAGCUGGUCUGAGAGGACGACCAGCCACACUGGGACUGAGACACGGCCCAGACUCCUACGGGAGGCAGCAGUGGGGAAUUUUGGACAAUGGGCGAAAGCCUGAUCCAGCAAUGCCGCAUGUGUGAAGAAGGCCUUCGGGUUGUAAAGCACUUUUGUCCGGAAAGAAAUCCUUGACUCUAAUACAGUCGGGGGAUGACGGUACCGGAAGAAUAAGCACCGGCUAACUACGUG
rnacentral:rRNA from 1 species